GAUGAAGAACGCAGCGAAACGCGAAAGGUAAUGCGAAUUGCAGAAUCAGUGAGUCAUCGAAUCUUUGAACGCACAUUGCGCCUCUCGGUACUCCGGGAGGCACGCCUGUUCGAGCGCCAUUACACACCCCAAGCGUGGCUUGAUGUUGGACGAUGUCUGUGACAGGACAGGUCUGGAACGCGUUGGCGCCGCCGGCGGACCACGAGCGUAGCAAGACGAAAGUCAUCGCUCUGUUGGACAUCCGACGGUUGGCUGUCUUGGAGGAUGUGUUGAGGUUACCCGACAUGUCGUCUAACGAAUCACGAGUUUGGCCUCGGAUCAGGCGGGGAUACCCGCUGAACUUAAGCAUAUCAAUAAGCGGAGGA
rnacentral:misc_RNA from 1 species